rnacentral:rRNA from 1 species
GGCCAGGCUGUCUCCACCCGAGACUCAGUGAAAUUGAACUCGCUGUGAAGAUGCAGUGUACCCGCGGCAAGACGGAAAGACCCCGUGAACCUUUACUAUAGCUUGACACUGAACAUUGAGCCUUGAUGUGUAGGAUAGGUGGGAGGCUUUGAAGUGUGGACGCCAGUCUGCAUGGAGCCGACCUUGAAAUACCACCCUUUAAUGUUUGAUGUUCUAACGUGGGCCCCUUACCGGGGUUGCGGACAGUGUCUGGUGGGUAGUUUGACUGGGGCGGUCUCCUCCUAAAGAGUAACGGAGGAGCACGAAGGUUGGCUAAUCCUGGUCGGACAUCAGGAGGUUAGUGCAAUGGCAUAAGCCAGCUUGACUGCGAGCGUGACGGCGCGAGCAGGUGCGAAAGCAGGUCAUAGUGAUCCGGUGGUUCUGAAUGGAAGGGCCAUCGCUCAACGGAUAAAAGGUACUCCGGGGAUAACAGGCUGAUACCGCCCAAGAGUUCAUAUCGACGGCGGUGUUUGGCACCUCGAUGUCGGCUCAUCACAUCCUGGGGCUGAAGUAGGUCCCAAGGGUAUGGCUGUUCGCCAUUUAAAGUGGUACGCGAGCUGGGUUUAGAACGUCGUGAGACAGUUCGGUCCCUAUCUGCCGUGGGCGCUGGAGAACUGAGGGGGGCUGCUCCUAGUACGAGAGGACCGGAGUGGACGCAUCACUGGUGUUCGGGUUGUCAUGCCAAUGGCACUGCCCGGUAGCUAAAUGCGGAAGAGAUAAGUGCUGAAAGCAUCUAAGCACGAAACUUGCCCCGAGAUGAGUUCUCCCUGACUCCUUGAGAGUCCUGAAGGAACGUUGAAGACGACGACGUUGAUAGGCCGGGUGUGUAAGCGCAGCGAUGCGUUGAGCUAACCGGUACUAAUGAACCGUGAGGCUUAACCUU